GGACUGGUAAUUUAGUGGUAGAAUACUACAUUUUCAUUGUAGUCGCGUAAGUUCGAUUCUUAUCCAGUCUA
rfam:Microbotryum lychnidis-dioicae p1A1 Lamole unplaced genomic scaffold supercont1.89, whole genome shotgun sequence.